AGGAUUAGAUACCCUGGUAGUCCAUGCCGUAAACGUUGGGAACUAGAUGUAGGGCCUGUUCCACGGGUUCUGUGUCGUAGCUAACGCAUUAAGUUCCCCGCCUGGGGAGUACGGCCGCAAGGCUAAAACUCAAAGGAAUUGACGGGGGCCCGCACAAGCGGCGGAGCAUGCGGAUUAAUUCGAUGCAACGCGAAGAACCUUACCAAGGCUUGACAUAUGGAAGAACGGGUCAGAAAUGAUUCACUCUUUGGACACUUCUAUACAGGUGGUGCAUGGUUGUCGUCAGCUCGUGUCGUGAGAUGUUCGGUUAAGUCCGGCAACGAGCGCAACCCUCGUCCUAUGUUGCCAGCACGUAAUGGUGGGAACUCAUGGGAUACUGCCGUGGUCAACACGGAGGAAGGUGGGGAUGACGUCAAAUCAUCAUGCCCCUUAUGUCUUGGGCUUCACGCAUGCUACAAUGGCCGGUACAAUGGGCUGCGAUACCGCGAGGUGGAGCGAAUCCCAAAAAGCCGGUCUCAGUUCGGAUUGGGGUCUGCAACUCGACCCCAUGAAGUCGGAGUCGCUAGUAAUCGCAGAUCAGCAACGCUGCGGUGAAUACGUUCCCGGGCCUUGUACACACCGCCCGUCAAGUCAUGAAAGUCGGUAACACCCGAAGCCGGUGGCCUAACCCUUGUGGAGGGAGCCGUCGAAGGUGGGACUGGUGAUUAGGACUAAGUCG
rnacentral:rRNA from 1 species